rnacentral:rRNA from 1 species
AAUCAACGCUGGCGGCGUGCCUAACACAUGCAAGUCGAACGCGAAAGCCCCGCAAGGGGUAAGUAGAGUGGCAAACGGGUGAGUAACACGUGGGUGACCUGCCUUCGAGUGGGGGAUAACGUCCCGAAAGGGACGCUAAUACCGCAUGACAUCCUGCUCUUGAACGAGUGGAGAUCAAAGCUGGGGAUCGCAAGACCUAGCGCUCAAAGAGGGGCCCGCGCCUGAUUAGCUAGUUGGUGGGGUAAUGGCUCACCAAGGCGACGAUCAGUAUCCGGCCUGAGAGGGCGGACGGACACACUGGGACUGAGACACGGCCCAGACUCCUACGGGAGGCAGCAGUGGGGAAUUGUUCGCAAUGGGCGCAAGCCUGACGACGCAACGCCGCGUGGAGGAUGAAGAUCUUCGGGUCGUAAACUCCUUUCGAUCGAGACGAAUGGCCUCCGGGUGAAUAAUCCGGAGGAAUGACGGUACCGAGAGAAGAAGCCCCGGCUAACUCCGUGCCAGCCGCCGCAGUAAGAC